rnacentral:rRNA from 1 species
GUAGUCCACGCUGUAAACGAUGGGUACUAGGUUUGGCGGGUCUUGACCCCUGCCGAACCGCAGCUAACGCAAUAAGUACCCCGCCUGGGAAGUACGGUCGCAAGACUAAAACUCAAAGGAAUUGACGGGGGCCCGCACAAGCGGUGGAUCAUGUGGUUUAAUUCGAAGCAACGCGAAGAACCUUACCUGGAUUUGACAUCUCCGGACAACCCAAGAGAUUGGGCUUUCGUAGCAAUACGACCGGAAGACAGGUGCUGCAUGGCUGUCGUCAGCUCGUGUGGUGACAUGUUGGGUUAAGUCCCGCAACGAGCGCAACCCUUGUCCUUAGUUGCCAGCAUUCAGUUGGGCUCUCUAAGGAGACUGCCGUGGUGAACACGGA